rnacentral:lncRNA from 1 species
AUGAUUGGGCUUAAGCCCAUAACCCACCUGGAAGGCGCUUCUUGCUGCAAUAUUGAGGUUGAGGGUUCAAACCUACUAUUGGACCCAAAAAUGGAAAAUCAAUGGAUGAAAAUUAAGAUUGCCCUCAAUAGUAAAGGUUGCAUUUUCAGAUCAUUAAGUAUGAUUUAUUUUGGUGAGUUUCCUCUCAUGAUGGCUUUUGAACUAUAUCUCGUACUUGUGGCUGAAUUUGAAGUACAAUCAUGAGCCUUGAAUGGAUCUUCCCAAGAUUAGUGUCCCUUCUGAACUCUCGAUGUCCAAUACUUUUAUGAACAGCCCAAAAACUUCAAGUUAUCCUGGAAUUCACUUAAUUCACUUUCUGUAGAUGUGCCCAAAAGCCCCUUGCUUUUCUUGGUAUAUAUUCAAAAUAUCCUAGAUAAUUAGAGAAUACAGGUUAAAUCUCCUGCAAAACGGGGGGGAAAACAAAAAAGAAGAACAAACCAUGAACCAAAAAAAAAAAAGAAAGGAAAAAAAGAACAUUGACCUAAAAGAAAAAUAAAAGACAGUCCAUCUUUGAGCACUUAUACUGACAGUAGUUACUUCAGGAAAGGACAGAUGAUGUUGUUUCCUUCUACAUUUUGCACUUCAUUUGAUUUUUUCAUUUCAUCUUAUGCAUGUUUAUUCUUUGUCAAUCGACAAUGCUUUUACGUUCUACAUGUCCAUGCCUUUAGGUUUUCAAAGUUUAUUUCCUCGUUUAGGAGUUUUUUCCCCUCCUCCCCCCCCCCCACACCCCCACCCCCUCCUGAAUUUUUUUGAUGUUAGUCCUCUUGGUGCAUGACUCGACAGUUUCAGAUUGCAUAUAUUUGUUUAUUGUUUUUCUUUGCCUUUGAUUUAUUGUUUAUGGCUGCCUAAACUUAAUUUGAUGGUGAAAAACCAGUGCUACUUCGGGAGGUAUUUUGGACAAAGCUAUUGAAGCAGAAGAUAAAAAACAUGGAGACUUCCUGAGGCUGGUAAGACCGUUCACAUUUGGUAACCAUGCGAAAAUGCACAAAGAUAAUCUGAAUGUGUCAAAUUUAGAGAGGGGAUGUGAUAGAUUCAGUUUUCAAGUUGAGAAUGGGGCCUAGGCAGUGGUGUUCAGGAUGGCAGGUUCUACAAUGUGACAUCUAGAGUUCUGUUAUCUCAUGAGGAAGAAGCCUUUUGGGGGGAUGAAUCUGCUAUUAAUUUUUUUUGUUUCUUUUGUGAAGCUGUGAUCCUAUUUCUUUCCAAGUAUUCCAUUCUUUUCCUCUGUGCUGUGUGCAGUGCUUUUGCUGCAUCUUCAGCACCUAUUUUUUAUAUUUGAAUUUAUAAAUAUACCUUUGGGUCUUUCUAACUGUUAUGCAUGUGUACUCUGAGCAGGAGCACGUUGAAGGAUACCUUGAAUUAUCAGCCAAAACAAAGAUAUAUUUUGCUACUGCUGUUUCUUUAUGGGAUGCAGACUUUUACAUUAAGGUGGAUGAUGAUGUACAUGUAAAUAUAGGUGAGAAAAUUCUUUCAUGUGUAGUUUUUGUGUCAUGUACUUUGUGACAGUGAAAGUUGAAGACACUCCAGUCAUCUGCUAUAUGAUGCAAUAGGAAUUAGGGUUAAGAAACAUUGUUUUAUUUAUUUUCUGUUGUGUGAUUUACAAAAAGGGAUUGAGCAAGAUGAUCUAAUUUUUCCAAGAGGCUGAUGUUCAAACAUUGAUUACUUCAUUAUCAUCAGCUUCAAAACAUUCAUGUAUUAUUUAAAUAUGUCAUGUACUUUGUGACAGUGAAAGUUGAAGACACUCCAGUCAUCUGCUAUAUGAUGCAAUAGGAAUUAGGGUUAAGAAACAUUGUUUUAUUUAUUUUCUGUUGUGUGAUUUACAAAAAGGUAUUGAGCAAGAUGAUCUAAUUUUUCCAAGAGGCUGAUGUUCAAACAUUGAUUACUUCAUUAUCAUCAGCUUCAAAACAUUCAUGUAUUAUUUAAAUAUGUUGGCAUACCAUAUUUCACAGUAAUUGGUCCACAUCUUGUUAUUUUCCUUGUGCUUUCAAGACAAAGGUUUUUCCAAAAUCAAUCUAACUACCCAUACUGUCCGAGUGUUCCACAUCUGAGUCUGAAUUUUGUACUAUAGCAACACUUGGAACGACUCUGGUGCGGCAUCGGGCAAAGCCUCGGGUGUAUAUAGGUUGCAUGAAGUCGGGUCCAGUUCUCGCCCAAAAGUAAGAUCUAUUAUUCUUCCUUUGACAGUUAUUUAUGUGGAGAGUAGUUUUUUAAUUUAAUUUAUAAUAUUAUGGUCUAGGGGAGUGAGGUACCAUGAGCCUGAGUACUGGAAAUUUGGCGAGGAGGGAAACAAGUAUUUUAGACAUGCUACAGGGCAAUUAUAUGCCAUCUCAAAGGACUUGGCGACAUAUAUAUCAAUAAAUCAGUAAGCAUCAAUGUACUCAGUUCUAUUGAGAUUAUGUGUCGUGGGCUUUUUAUGAAAGAUGCUUAGAUAAAUCAUACUUUGUGAUUCUCUCUCAGGCAUGUGCUGCACAAGUAUGCGAAUGAGGAUGUCUCAUUAGGGGCCUGGUUUAUUGGGUUGGAUGUUGAACACAUUGAUGAUCGCAGGCUCUGUUGCGGAACCCCUCCAGGUAAGUGAGAUUUGCUAUCUAUAUCUUUCUGAUGCGAUGAGUCCAAAGUAUUUUACAGGAUAAUGAUUCUUGAAAGGAAAAUGUUUAUAUAAGUGCGAGGCUCUAAACAAUCAAAUCAGGGCGUACCUAAAACAUUUCACUAGAAGAGGUUGGUUUGAUGCCCAAAUAUCCUCAAAUGGAUCAUGUUGACCUCAACAUGCAUGGAUAUGACAAAAAAAAAUGGAUUUCAAGUUUUGGAAAUGGUGCAUCUUGUAAUGCAUUUUUGGACCGUCAAUUUUCAAGAUUUUCAAGUUUUCAUAGAUUUGCUCGAUCUACUCUAUUUUUGAAGCUGUAAAUUUUAUAAUUAGAGAUAAAAAUAUAUUUUAAGGUUAUCACAAAGGUUUCCAGUGUUGAAAACACAUUUCUCGACACUAUUUGAAGGUGCGCCUUACUUUGAUUGUUUAGAGCCUCAGCCUUAUACAAACCGCACCCUGAAAUGUGAUUUGACCAAACAAAUGCCGGAAGAAAAUGGAUCCUCUUCUUUUUUCACGUAUGAAAAGAACAUGUUUUUUCUUAGAUUCUGGUUAAAAGCAUCUUGCACAUCUGCUGAUAUGGCCUGUCCUAUCAUUACUUUUAAGCAUCUUUUGCCUUUGGCAAGCAAAUAGCAUUUUGUUUUAUUACGUGUAAGGAUUUUUUUCUGUCAGCUCAAGAAUGACUGGUGUAUAGUAAAGAAUCAGGGUGCUUUUGCCUAUGAAGUGAACCCCUUUCAAAUGAGAACUACAGCCUCGGUUUUCCAUGAUUGACAUAAAUUUUGUAUUUUAAUGAGACUAAAAUUUCAGUAAUGAGCAGUCAAUGUGGAUUCGACAAGGAUUAUCUAGGAUGUGUUUGUGUUCCUGGCUUACCUUGUGAGAAGGAAUUGAUGACAUAAGUACAUUGUGCAGAUUGUGAGUGGAAGGCACAAGCUGGCAAUAUAUGU